CAGUCGCCGCGGUAAUACGAAGGGUGCAAGCGUUACUCGGAAUUACUGGGCGUAAAGCGUGUGUAGGUGGUGGUUUAAGUCUGUUGUGAAAGCCCUGGGCUCAACCUGGGAAUUGCAGUGGAUACUGGGUCACUAGAGUGUGGUAGAGGAUAGUGGAAUUUCCGGUGUAGCAGUGAAAUGCGUAGAGAUCGGAAGGAACAUCUGUGGCGAAGGCGACUAUCUGGGACAACACUGACGCUGAGGUGCGAAAGCGUGGGGAGCAAACAGGAUUAGAUACCCGCGUAGUCCCUGUCUCUUAUAC
rnacentral:rRNA from 1 species